AUUGAACGCUGGCGGCAUGCUUUACACAUGCAAGUCGAACGGUAACAGGGAGCUUGCUCCGCUGACGAGUGGCGAACGGGUGAGUAAUGCGUCGGAACGUGCCGAGUAGUGGGGGAUAACGCAUCGAAAGGUGUGCUAAUACCGCAUACGAACUGAGGUUGAAAGUGGGGGACCUUCGGGCCUCACGCUAUUCGAGCGGCCGACGUCUGAUUAGCUAGUAGGUGAGGUAAAGGCUCACCUAGGCGACGAUCAGUAGCGGGUCUGAGGGGAUGAACCGACACACUGGGACUGAGACACGGCCCAGGAUCCUACGGGAGGCAACAGUGGGGAAUUUUGGACAAUGGGGGAAAGCCUGAUCCAGCCAUGCCGCGUGUCUGAAGAAGGCCUUCGGGUUGUAAAGGACUUUUGUCGGGGAGGAAAUCCCCAGCGUUAAUACCGCUGGGGGAUGACAGUACCUGAAGAAUAAGCACCGGCUAACUACGUGCCAGCCGCCGCCGUAAGAC
rnacentral:rRNA from 1 species